rnacentral:rRNA from 1 species
CCUACGGUGCGCAGCAGUCGAGAAUCAUUCACAAUGGGGGAAACCCUGAUGGUGCGACGCCGCGUGGGGGAAUGAAGGUCUUCGGAUUGUAAACCCCUGUAAUGUGGGAGCAAAUUAAAAAGAUAGUACCACAAGAGGAAGAGACGGCUAACUCUGUGCCAGCAGCCGCGGUAAUACAGAGGUCUCAAGCGUAGUUCGGAAUCACUGGGCGUAAAGCGUGCGUAGGCUGUUUCGUAAGUCGUGUGUGAAAGGCGCGGGCUCAACCCGCGGACGGCACAUGAUACUGCGAGACUAGAGUAAUGGAGGGGGAACCAGAAUUCUAGGUGUAGCAGUGAAAUGCGUAGAUAUCGAGAGGAACACUCGUGGCGAAGGCGGGUUCCUGGACAUUAACUGACGCUGAGGCACGAAGGCCAGGGGAGCGAAAGGGAUUAGAUACCCCUGUAGUC